AUAUUAGGGAGCUACCAUUUGAUUUUUAUGGGGGGGCUAGGAUGAAAAAUUUUGUCCUGCAUUUUUUUUUAGUUGUAAUCUCUGUCCUGCCUUUUUAUUUUUUACUCUAUUCGGUCCUGCCUUUUUUUUACUAGUUUUAUCCUGACUUUUUUUACACAAUUGUCAUCCUGCCUUUUUUUUUUACCAAGUUGCUCAUCCUGCCUUUUUUUUUACUCAAAACUCCUGUCCUGCCUUUUUUUUCAAAAUUUCAUCCUAG
rnacentral:lncRNA from 1 species